rnacentral:lncRNA from 1 species
GUGGAUGAGGCGGUUAGAGUCAUCGGGUCAAAGAAAAGACAGUCUCUUUUAAGAGAGUCUUUUCUAGGCACUCGUUUUGAGUUGCCAGAGUAAAAUCUCUCCAAGAACGCAACGUGGAGCUUUGCCAAGACCUCACCAGCGAGCCCUGGGGUGCCGGCCUGGAGCAGGAAGGCAGAGACUUUGGUCCCUGGGAAGUGGAAAAGGAAGGUCAUAUGUCCCACCUGUGUUUUGUUUUCUCCUGGCGAGGGCUGAGCUAUCAGAUGGCAGAUCCUGCGCCAGCAUCCUCAGCCAGUUCCCAGGGAGAAGCUUUCACAGCAGGAUUGAGCACCAGUGGAUGCUGCUGUGGCUCCUGGAAGCUGCAGGUUGUCACCCGCUGUCCUGUCAUCAAGGUGGACCUGAAGCAACAGUUUGUCCUGGAGUCGAAGAAAGCCCAAGGGUCCUCAGUCCCACCCACACUGUAAAGGUGCGCGUCAGGCCUGGCAGGGUCGGCAAUUGGCCCAAGGCCCUCAGUGAGGUCAGGACUGGGGCCCUGGCUCUCGGACCCACAUGGCCAAGAUCACUCCCACAGCGUCCCCUUCAAUGAGUGAGUGAGAGCAAAACAGCAGCAACCAUGACAAUGAUGACUCUGUGAUGCACGGAGAAGGUUCUGGAGGCCAGAAGUCUGAAGUCAGUUUCACCGGGCCCAAAUCAAGGACCACAUUCCCUCCGGAGGUGCUAGGGGAGAAUCCACUUCCUUUCCUUUUCCAGAUUCUAGAGCUGUAUUUCUUGGCCCAUGGCCCAUUCCCCAGCUUCAAAGCCAGCAGCUUAGCAUCUUCAAAUCUCUCUCUGCUUUGUCUUCACAUUGCCUUCUUCUCUGUGUCAAAUCUCCCUCUCCC